GUCGGAGUGGCGAAAUGGAAGACGCGCUAGGUUUAGGACCUAGUGGGGAAACCCGUGAGAGUUCAAAUCUCUCCUCCGACA
rnacentral:tRNA from 1 species